CACCUGUCGCCGACACAGACGCCCCCUGUGAAGCCGAGUCGCCGACACAGCUGGUCGCAUGCUCGGUUGUUGCAACCGCCCUCCAAGGUGUAUUCGUUAUCUAAAACGUACAUUGAUAAAAAGUUGUCGCACUUGCACCUGUCGCCGACACAGACGCCUCCUGUGAAGCCGAGUCGCCGACACAGCUGGUCGCAUGCUCGGUUGUUGCAACCGCCCUCCAAGGUGUAUUCGUUAUCUAAAACGUACAUUGAUAAAAAGUUGUCGCACUUGCAUCUGUCGCCGACACAGACGCCCCCUGUGAAGCCGAGUCGCCGACAUAGCUGGUCGCAUGCUCGGUUGUUGCAACCACCCUCC